UUCAGAGUUCUGUUAGGCACCAGAGGACAGAGCCGGUUCUCACUGUUUUCUGCAAAUGUGGAGCACCUGGGACCCAUCAAUGAAAUAAGGACAUUAUCAGAUAAAAGAGAACUGAGAAUUUGUUGUCAGAAUCCCCAUACUACAAGAAAUGCCAGCAUAGUUUCUUCAGGUUGAAGGGAAAGAAUACCAGAGGAAAACUUGAAUCUUCAGAAAGGAAUGGCAUCAUUGGAAAUGGCUUUUGAACCCAGGCUGAAUCACCACUGGCUUUCCUAGGGCUCCAGGCUGCAGAUGGCAGAUCAUGGGACUUCUUGGUCUCUACAAUUACUGUUAUGCUGAUCCAUUAUAUUCAUGAUAUCAUGAAGAUCUGAGGUAAAAAGGAGAAAACGGUGAGAAUGGUGGAAGCCUUAAGAAGGUAUAUGUGCACCAGUGGGCAGAAGAAAUCCCUACAGAAUUUCAGCAGCCGGCCAAAAUGAUUUUCUACCAAAUAAAAAAAGGUGACCUUCACUCUUCAAAAUUAUCAAAAGAAGAAUGAGGAACUGUUCCAGAUUAAAGACAUGACAACCAAACAACAUGAUUCUGUACUGGAUCCUUCACUGAGCUGGGG